rnacentral:rRNA from 1 species
AUUGAACGCUGGCGGCAGGCCUAACACAUGCAAGUCGAGCGCCCAGCAAUGGGAGCGGCAGACGGGUGAGUAACGCGUGGGGAUGUGCCCAAUGGUGCGGAAUAACCCAGGGAAACUUGGAUUAAUACCGCAUGUGCCCUUCGGGGGAAAGAUUUAUCGCCAUUGGAUAAACCCGCGUUUGAUUAGCUAGUUGGUGAGGUAAAGGCUCACCAAGGCGACGAUCAGUAGCUGGUCUGAGAGGAUGAUCAGCCACACGGGGACUGAGACACGGCCCAGACUCCUCCGGGAGGCAGCAGUGGGGAAUAUUGGACAAUGGGCGCAAGCCUGAUCCAGCCAUGCCGCGUGAGUGAUGAAGGCCUUAGGGUUGUAAAGCUCUUUCGCCGGUGAAGAUAAUGACGGUAACCGGAGAAGAAGCCCCGGCUAACUUCGUGCCAGCAGCCGCCGUAAGAC